GAGUACGACCGCAAGGUUGAAACUCAAAGGAAUUGACGGGGGCCCGCACAAGCGGUGGAGUAUGUGGUUUAAUUCGACGCAACGCGAAGAACCUUACCAGGUCUUGACAUUGAUGGACAGAACUAGAGAUAGUUCCUCUUCUUCGGAAGCCAGAAAACAGGUGGUGCACGGUUGUCGUCAGCUCGUGUCGUGAGGUGUUGGGUUAAGUCCCGCAACGAGCGCAACCCCUAUCUUAUGUUGCCAGCACUUUGGGUGGGAACUCAUGAGAGACUGCCGCAGACAAUGCGGAGGAAGGCGGGGAUGACGUCAAAUCAUCAUGCCCCUUAUGACCUGGGCUACACACGUACUACAAUGGGAGUUAAUAGACGGAAGCGAGAUCGCGAGAUGGAGCAAACCCGAGAAACACUCUCUCAGUUCGGAUCGUAGGCUGCAACUCGCCUACGUGAAGUCGGAAUCGCUAGUAAUCGCAGGUCAGCAUACUGCGGUGAAUACGUUCCCGGGCCUUG
rnacentral:rRNA from 1 species